rnacentral:rRNA from 1 species
GUUGUUUAAUAUAAAGUCUGACCUGCCCACUGAAAUUAUUUUGAAGGGCCGCAGUAUUUUGACUGUGCAAAGGUAGCAUAAUCAUUAGUCUUUUAAUUGAAGGCUGGUAUGAAUGGUUGGAUGAGGUACAAGCUGUGUCAUAAAAAUUAAUAUUUGAAUUUACCUUUUUAGUCAAAAGGCUAAAAUAAAAUUAAAAGACGAGAAGACCCUAUAGAGCUUUAUAUAAUUUAUAUUUAAAUUAUUAAGAUUUUUUAAACUUAAUUAUUUUAUUAUAUUUUGUUGGGGUGACAAUAAAAUUUAUAAAACUUUUAUUAUUAAUAAACAUUUAUUUAUGAUUAUAUGAUCCAGUUUUAUUGAUUAUAAAUUUAAGUUACCUUAGGGAUAACAGCGUAAUUUUUUUUGAGAGUUCUUAUCGACAAAAAAGAUUGCGACCUCGAUGUUGGAUUAAGAGUAAUUUUGGGUGUAGAAGUUCAAAGUUUAAGUCUGUUCGACUUUUAAAUUCUUACAUGAUC